CACCCACAAAAAAACAUGUAUUAAAAUACUAACCCCUAAUGUGACGGUGUUAGAAGUGAGACCUUUGGGUGGUGAUGAUGUUGUGAGGGCAAAGCACUCAUGAAUGAGAUUAGUGACCUCAUAAAAGCAGCCCCAGAGAGCUGCCUUGCCUUUCCUGCCAGGUGAGUACACAGUGAGAAGAUGGCCAACUAUAAGCCAGGAAACAGGCCUCCAUCAACAAGGAAUCUGCCGGCAACUUGAUCUUGGACUUCCCAGCCUCCAGGAUUGAAGAAAAAUAUGUUGCAAACAUGGAGGAAAGAUGAUGGCCUCCUUCAACAGAACUAUGAGUUGUCCAAGAUUUCACAAAGUUCUUCAAGCAUGGCAUUUGAUGAUGAGCCCUAAGAUGACUUGAGCCUCACGUCAACUCUCUUUGCUACACGCCCCUCUUUGGAGACCACCACUUCAUGCAAUGGGGAGUGACAUUAGGGCUGAACUUUAAGAAAGAGAACUCUGACAGUAAUGAGAAGACAGAAAAAGAGAAUGACCAGAUAUCCAAAAUGGGAUCGUAGCAUCGAACAUGAGAAGGCCAUGCAUAAGAUGGGGUAGGUCCAAUCAACAAAAUUUGAAAAAAGGUCAGCUUUGGAGUGGUCUGAAAAGGGAGACAAAGGAGGAGACAGAAUUCUGGAUGAUUUCACGGUAACAAUCCUGAGUGACUUGGAGGAUAUAAUAGUAUUAACUAAAAAGGAAAAUGCACAAGACAGCAAUUUGAGGGAAGGACAUUUAGAUGAAGAGAUCCUUGAGAAAUACAUGCAUUUAAAAGACAAGUGGGAGAGAAACUAAUGAAGGAGCUGAAAAUGGCCAAUGACACUGGAAAAGAACGACGACAGUAAAGUGUCCUAGUAGCCAAGGGAAGAGAGAAAGCACUUUUUAAAGGAUGAGAUGAUCACUUGUGUCAACUUCUGUCAAUAAUUAAAGGAGACAAGGGACAAGAUGACAUCCGUGGAUAUGGCAAAUAGCCAAUAAUAAUGAAAGCUAGCAUCACAUCUGCUGCAUGCUUGUCACAUGCCAGGCACACCACUUCAAGAGUUGUACAAGUAAGAACCCAUUUCAUCCCCAAGAACCCUAGGACGUAAGUGUGACUAGCAUCCCCAUUUUGGUGCUCAGCCUCUCGAGUAGCUGGGCUUACAGGCAUGCGCCACCAGGCCCAGCUAAUUUUUGUAUUUUUAGUAGAGACGGGGUUUCAC
rnacentral:lncRNA from 10 species